rnacentral:lncRNA from 1 species
GCCCAGUCCGCUCUUAUAUUGGAGCAAAUUAUAUCCUCUUAAUCAUAUUGUACUCUCUUCGUUGGAACCUCAUAUCAGUUCCAGAAGAUAGCCUUUUCAGGACUUUUAGUGCUGGUAUGAACAUGUUUGAUUUGCCAACUUACUGGAGAAGCUGAAACUUAGAAAUGGUCCAUCUUCUGACAGCUCAGAUUCAAUAACAAGCUUCACAACCUUGCUGAGGCUAAGUGGCAGACAUGGACUAUCCCACUGAAGGUAGGAGAAGAAUAGAAAUUAUAUUUUAGGAUAUAACUGUAGGACUGUAUAGCUCAAUGGUAGUUAAGUCAAGUAUUGGAGGC